rnacentral:lncRNA from 1 species
AGACUGCUUGUAAAUGUGACAGGCAAUCAUCAAAUGAAUCGCCAAAAAUAGAGAAAUCAUCCAUAAACACUUCUAAAAAUUUCUCGUUCAUUUCUUCAAAAAUACUGAGCAUGCAUCUUUGGAAUGUUGCAGGUGCAUUACACAACCCGAAUGGCAUCCGACGGAAAGUGAAUGUGCCAAAAGGACAAGUGAAGGUAGUCUUCUCUUGA